rnacentral:lncRNA from 1 species
GACCAAAUUUAACACUUUUAAUGGCCUUAAAUUUGACUAUUUUUAUUUAUCACUUUUUAAUACUUUUUAAAACCCCGCGGACACCCUGUAGCUGCAGACGCAGCCCCGAAAAACCACGCCCCCGACCAAACACGCCCCCAUGUGCCUGUUGAGCUCCCCCGAGCUCCCCUGGUGGUCAGAAAAGGGAAAUAUCUCAAUAACGGCAGCCCUCCCAGUCUGCAGCUAGGUAUUAUUGACAAAAGACGCCUGCAUGUUCGAAGACAAGAGAACUCGCAUGCGUGUUGCAACACCAGAUGGAAAUGACAGUUCAGGUAAAGACAGAUUUAUAUUUUUACAACUUGCGAAGAUUUUUUACUUUAAAUUUGAACGUUUAAGACAUAGUUUGAUAGCGCAUUAGUGAUUUUUUUCUGAAACACUUUUAUAUAAAAUUAAGCAUUAUUGGCAGUGGGGGAAGACAUCAUGGACGCAAAAUAUUUUUUAUAUAAUUUUUAAUGGGCUACAUGCAAGCCUUUUGGCCAAAACAAACGUAACAAUAGGCUAUUUAUUUGACCAUUUAUGACUCCUCAUCUAAUAAGCAGCAAACUCACGACGGCAAUGUGGUAGGCCAAAAAUUGUCGCACUCAGACGUGUAAAAUUUGUUAAAACAUGUAACAGAAAAUUCCCUUAAAAACCAUUCAGAUAUAUUUUUACAUGUCAACAUUUAAAUGUAUUAUAGUUUUUUUGACAAGUAGUUGCGUGUAUAGCAUCCAGUAAAUAUUAGUCUGAUGGUAACGUUUCGUAUUUAGGAUAAAAAGAAAAAGAAAACAUGAAAGCAGCACCAUGGUCAGUGACGACCUUACUCCUGCCUGUUUGAAAAUAGGUCACCACUUUCAGGGAUGGAAUGAUUCUGAGACAGCAGCAGUCCCACAAUUAUCAGUUGUUGUAUUUAGCUUUUCCAAUGUGUUUUGGUUGAUUUGUUGAUUUUAAAAAGCAGAGAGUUUGAUAUGUUGUCAACUUUCAAUAGUGGUGGUAUAAGAAGUGCAAAUGUCAGUCCUCUUUGGAUAACUGUAAAACAAACUGAUACAAUUAUUUGCUUUCCUCUGAGUCCACAGGACACCGACCAUGUGUAUUUUAAGACACCUUACAGCUUUCCACCCAGAGAGCAGGACAAUGACGGCAUGGACCAACACAACGUGGUCACCACAACCAGAGAUGUUGGGAUCCUGAGUAAAGACGUGUCUUACGACAGGCUUGUGGAAAGGGCUCAGCAAGCUGAAGACCAAAGAAGAGUCAGCAGGUGAUCUUCUUAUAUCAUUUAUCACUCAGGAUAAAGGCCUACUGCUACAUCUGGAAGCAAUCAUCGCAGGAAAAGUGUCAUCCACCUGGGCUUCAUCAAAGGGCAGGGUGGACAGCUGGACAGAGUGAUGGGCUUCUUGACAAGCCUGGUUGAAGCACAGACAACCAGAUGUCACAAUCAAGUGGCAUUCAUGAUGGAUGUGCUUCUGCCAGAGGUACAUGCUGAAAAUGUUUAUGUAUCACAUGAAAAUAUUUUGUAGCAGUACUGUUGUCAGUCUAUAACUCAUGGAUAAUAUCUUGUUACCUGCAACAUGACAGACUAAUGUCUACAUGAAAGAUGUCCUUUUGUUCACCUCAUUACUCAGGCAACCAUCCAUGCGCUUUCAGCUGUCCAUGAAUGUUGACGGACAAAGACACAGAAAUGUACGGCAGUGGGCUGCAGUAUGACUGGAGGUAUUCUACAAACACAAGAACAGGGCUAAUGUCUAUAUGUAUUGUUUUCACAUUGUUUAUGACAGCCUCUAGGUGUGAAUGUCAUUUUUACUAGGGAUGUAAGAAAAUAUCGAUAUGGCAAUAUAUCGUGAUAAUUUUUCCAGCAAUAUUAUAUCGAUAUUCAAAAGCCGUUAUCGAAAAUAUUGAUAUGGCAAUAUAUCGUGAUUUUUUCCCUGCGAUUAUUACAUCGAUAUUCAAAAGCCGUGUAUCUAAUCUUUGAAAGAAUUUACAUGCAAACAUUUGUGUAUUUACUUUUCGUUUGGUGCAAUUCAAUCGCCACCCGCUAGUUGGCAGCAGUGUGCAACGGGUUUUGUUUCCACCAUUUAAAAUGUAAAUCCCUCCAUCAUGGGUCAGAUACCUCAUGUUAAACAUGUUACGUAUCAGUUUGGACAGUUUAUUGAACAUUCUUACAAUAAAUUCAGUAAAAAAAAUUGCUUGUAACGUCUGACUGAAUGUAUUGCAAUAUAUCGUGAUAUAUCGUAUCGUCUCCCCUGUAUCGUGAUAUGUAUCGUAUUGUCAGAAUUUCAACGAUACACAUCCCUGAUUUUUACUAAUUGAUAUUUAUCUUUGUCUCAUUAGUGAGAGGCAGCUGAUGUCCAAUGGCAUGGAACUGCUCAUAUACUCAGAGAAAUUCAGAAAAGUUCUGGACUCAACUGAAUUUUUGAAGAGGCUGUAGUAUUGUGUUGACUUUUUUUUUUUUGAAGGUAUUUGUAAGGCCAAUAAAAGUUGUUGCUGGUUGUUUCAUUUGUCUGAACUUUUUUUCUGAAGCAAAACUUUUCUGCUUUUGUGUUUACAGUAUAUUUUUUAAAGAUUAGUGUAUGGUCAAUAUCAGUUUACUAGUCUUGUGAAUUGUAUACUUAAUGCAAAAUAUUUUAGUAAUUUCUAAAUCAAUACAUUUUGUGUCAAAGGGCCAGCAAUUAUUCCUGUUAACAGAAUAUAUGAAAUGCAUAUAUACACAUGUAAAUAUGCCUAAAAAUUACACAUCAGCAGCUUUUCACUGUAAAGAAGCAAUAAAAAAUCAUAAAUAGUGACAUAAAUAUUAACUACUCACUCGUAUUGACUUAGACCCACUGUUAGUGCCUGUAAUAACAAAUGUUUGAAAGUUAAAUGUUGCUGUAGGAAGCGUGCUCCCACAUAAAUGGAGGCUAGUGGGCUUAAGGGGUUAAUUAAAACUAUUACCACUAAUUACUUUUUCUGAUAUUUUAUCUUAUUGCAUUUAAAAUAAACACUUGCACAUACAUUACUCACCUGCUAACUUAAGUAAGCAUAGGUAUGUUGCGCCUAUUGUCCGGCAACUGAUUAUUUGUUGGUGGUAUCUGUGUUUUAUAAUCCCACUGGGGAUGGCCAAAAAGUGUGUAUGCAAGAAAAAAAAUCCAUGCAUUCAUAUUUAAAUCUGGAGUCCUGUCUGUUUAAUUACAUUGUUACUAUUUCUGUAUAAACGUAUUAUUUCAAUUGUAUUGUUCGCAUUGAAAGGCGUUUGACAAAAAGGAAAUUGUUUAGGGGGCUUGAGGCUGGGUGCUGC